GCUGAAGUGGUGAAACUGGUAGACACGCUGGCUUGAGGGGUCAGUGAGGGUAUUCCUUGUGCGGGUUCAAAUCCCGCCUUCAGCA
rnacentral:tRNA from 1 species